UUUAUGGUUGUGUUUUUUAUCCUGCUGUAAUUGUAUGAAAUUGUAUGAAACAUUAUUGCUGCAUUGUUGGCAACUUGCUCAUCUUGCUGGAAUUGCUGCAUUGGUGGUAAUGUUGGAUCAAAGUGUAUCCAUGGUAAGAAUAAGAGGAAUUGCUUAGUGCUUGCAUGGUUGUGAUGACUGGUUAACAUGAUUCUAUUCUUUUGCAAAGUGUAUCCAUUGGAAGAGUUAUGGUGUGGUGACUUCUUUUCAGAUCUUUCUUUUUGUGACAAGGAUAUAUUCAGGUAGAUUUGUAAGAUUAUAGCAUUUCAG
rnacentral:lncRNA from 1 species